UACGUAGGGUGCGAGCGUUGUCCGGAAUUACUGGGCGUAAAGAGCUCGUAGGUGGUUUGUCGCGUUGUUCGUGAAAUCUCACGGCUUAACUGUGAGCGUGCGGGCGAUACGGGCAGACUAGAGUACUGCAGGGGAGACUGGAAUUCCUGGUGUAGCGGUGGAAUGCGCAGAUAUCAGGAGGAACACCGGUGGCGAAGGCGGGUCUCUGGGCAAUAACUGACGCUGAGGAGCGAAAGCGUGGGGAGCGAACAGG
rnacentral:rRNA from 1 species